AGCCUUAGGAAAUUUUAUCUAAGGUUAAACCUGCCCAAUGUUAAACUUAUCAAUGGCCGCGGUACUUUGACCGUGCUAAGGUAGCGCAAUCAAUUGGCUUUUAAUUGAAGCCAUGUAUGAAUGGAAUCACGGGGUUAAGCUGUCUCCUAACUACUUUAUUGAAAUUACUAUUUAGGUGAAAAAGCCUAAAAAAAGAAAAAAGACGAGAAGACCCUUAGAGUUUUUCUAAAAUUAAGAAUAUAUUUCUUAAAACAGUUUAGUUGGGGCAACAUAGGAACAGAAAUUUUAACCUCCUAAAAAACACCUACCGAUAUUAAUAAAUAUGAAUAAACUACCUUAGGGAUAACAGCAUAAUUUUAUAAAUAAGUUUGUGACCUCGAUGUUGGACUAGGAAACUGAAAGGCUAGCCGCCUUUUAGGAAAGUUCUGUUCGAACUAUUAUUCCU
rnacentral:rRNA from 1 species